CCUACGGGAGGCAGCAGUGGGGAAUAUUGGACAAUGGGCGAAAGCCUGAUCCAGCAAUUCCGCGUGUGUGAAGAAGGCCUUCGGGUUGUAAAGCACUUUAGUGGGGGAAGAAACAGCUUGGCCACACCAAGCCUUGACGGUACCCCAAGAAUAAGCACCGGCUAACUCUGUGCCAGCAGCCGCGGUAAUACAGAGGGUGCAAGCGUUAAUCGGAUUUACUGGGCGUAAAGGGUGCGUAGGUGGCUAUUUAAGUCGGAUGUGAAAGCCCGGGGCUCAACCUCGGAAUUGCAUUCGAUACUGAGUGGCUAGAGUUCGGUAGAGGGCGGCGGAAUUUCCGGUGUAGCGGUGAAAUGCGUAGAUAUCGGAAGGAACAUCAAUGGCGAAGGCAGCCGCCUGGGCCUGGACUGACACUGAGGCACGAAAGCGUGGGUAGCAAACAGGAUUAGAUACCCUGGUAGUCCACGCCGUAAACGAUGAGAACUUGACGUUGGUCGUUUUACGAAUCGGUGUCGCNGCUACGACGAUAGUUACUCCGUCCGUCGGGUAGGUACGGCCGCGAGGUUAGGUAACGUACGAACGGAAAGUUAGACGGCGUGAGACGUGCCGACGGACGACGACGAGGGAGGUAGG
rnacentral:rRNA from 1 species